rnacentral:rRNA from 1 species
AUACGGAGGAUCCGAGCGUUAUCCGGAUUUAUUGGGUUUAAAGGGAGCGUAGGCGGACGCUUAAGUCAGUUGUGAAAGUUUGCGGCUCAACCGUAAAAUUGCAGUUGAUACUGGGUGUCUUGAGUACAGUAGAGGCAGGCGGAAUUCGUGGUGUAGCGGUGAAAUGCUUAGAUAUCACGAAGAACUCCGAUUGCGAAGGCAGCCUGCUGGACUGUAACUGACGCUGAUGCUCGAAAGUGUGGGUAUCAAACAGGAUUAGAUACCCUGGUAGUCCACACAGUAAACGAUGAAUACUCGCUGUUUGCGAUAUACAGUAAGCGGCCAAGCGAAAGCGUUAAGUAUUCCACCUGGGGAGUACGCCGGCAACGGUGAAACUCAAAUGAAUUGACGGGG